rnacentral:rRNA from 1 species
CAGCACCUCAAGUGGUCAGGAUGAUUAUUGGGCCUAAAGCAUCCGUAGCCGGCUCUGUAAGUUUUCGGUUAAAUCUGUAUGCUCAACAUACAGGCUGCCGGGAAUACUGCAGAGCUAGGGAGUGGGAGAGGUAGACGGUACUCGGUAGGAAGGGGUAAAAUCCUUUGAUCUAUUGAUGACCACCUAUGGCGAAGGCGGUCUACCAGAACACGUCCGACGGUGAGGGAUGAAAGCUGGGGGAGCAAACCGGAUUAGAUACCCGAGUAGUCC